AGGACUUUGAGUUAAAGGAGCAACACCUCUCUGAUGCACAGACCUUUGAUACUCUGGUGCUGCAAAUUUCAAGAGUUGGUGGGCGGAACAUGGACUGUGUCCACAAAGUGUUGGACAGGCUCUUCAUCAACAGCCUCAUGGCCAAAUUUAAUUUGAAGGGCAAGGGGAAAAGGGGGAAACGCCCUUUAGAUGGAACAAAGCUUUAUAGAGCAAUACAAG